GCCAGCACCGUUGGCUCGGAGCUUGUGGAUACUAGCUUGCCUUCUUCUCUUGUUGAUUUCGCAGAAACGGACAGGGAGCAGGGCCGGGAGACGGGUCGUCAGUGAGCGGAGCUGCUUUCUUAAAGGGGCCGUAUGCGGGAGACACGCGCACCGCGUCACCGCCGCUGCCAAUAUCACGGAGGGAUGAAUUAUGAAACACGUAAUAGCAGCCAGGAGUCUUCGCUGAAGUCCCCGCUGUCCCUCUAAAUCAGAAAUGGUGUUUCCGAGAGGUGAUACGGCCUUGAGGGGUGCUGUGAACGGGCUGCCUCUCGUUGUUCCACUUGGGCUUGACUUCGAUGUCGUCGUCCUCGCUGUCGGAGGAGUGAGAAGAGGCGUAGGAGGAGCUGUGUUCGUCGACUGACAGCUCACUGUCUGAGUCCGAGUCUGACGGGGGACAAGGAGGGAAGGAGGACGGCACAAAGAUGAACUUCUAUGAAUGAAAUGCACCCAGGCAUUCAUUUUUCCAUGCAGGCAAAUUUAUGAGAGGUUUUGAUUCAUCCAUUCAGUGAAAACCCACCAUCUCCCUUGGUGCCGUUUCUGUGGAACAGAGUUCCAUCCAGAUCCGUGUGUCCUUUCGCGUUUCCUGAGGAGACACUGGGCUUCUGACCAGACUCCUCUCUACGUAGAUAGAGUCAGAUGCAGGAGGAGGGAAGGAAUGGGAAGAGUAAAUAAAUGUGAGUGGAAAAGAAGAGGUGGAGAUCAAGAGGAGAGAGAGAGAAAGAGGAGGGGGGAAUACAGCGUCGCUGGAAGUUAACUCAAGCCACAACUCAAGGUUUUGACGCUAAUGUUUAACAGCUGAAACACCAGACAGAUCUCUCAUCACAAAACAUUUGCCUCUAUUGGCGUCAACAAAGACUAAAACACAUAUUACAUUGUGGUUUAGGCGUGCUUGCAUCAGGUUAAAGUCAAACUGGCAGCUUGAUCACCAAAAGAAAUGUAAAAAAAAAAUGUCUACCACAAAAAAUGUAUUGAAGGGUAAUACUUGCUCAUUGCUAAAUUGCUGCAAUAACCUCCUCUGCUCUCCACCUGAAGCUGUUUAUCCCAAGUUGGGUUGAG